AUACUUACCUGGGAGGGGAGAUACUCAUGAUCUCCCAUGAAGGUGGUUUUCCCAGGCCGAGGCUCAUGCACUCCGGCUGUGCUGACGCCUGCCACCUCCCAAAUGUGGGUCACUCGGCUGCAUAAUCUGUGGUAAUGGGGGACCCUGCUUUCUCACUCUCCCCUA
rnacentral:snRNA from 1 species